UACGUAGGCAGCAAGCGUUGUUCGGAGUUACUGGGCGUAAAGGGUGUGUAGGCGGUUUUUUAAGUUUGGUGUGAAAUCUCCCGGCUCAACUGGGAGGGUGCGCCGAAUACUGAAAGACUAGAGUGCGGGAGAGGAAAGUGGAAUUCCUGGUGUAGCGGUGAAAUUCGUAGAUAUUGGGAAGAACACCGGUGGCGAAGGCGGCUCACUGGCUCGUAACUGACGCUCAUGCACGACAGCGUGGGGAUCAAACAGG
rnacentral:rRNA from 1 species